rnacentral:rRNA from 1 species
UACGUAGGUGGCAAGCGUUGUCCGGAUUUACUGGGCGUAAAGAGCGCGCAGGCGGUCGUUCAAGUCGCGUGUGAAAGCCCCCGGCUCAACUGGGGAGGGUCACGCGAUACUGAUCGACUCGAAGGCAGGAGAGGGUAGUGGAAUUCCCGGUGUAGUGGUGAAAUGCGUAGAUAUCGGGAGGAACACCAGUGGCGAAGGCGGUUACCUGGAGCUUUGCUGACGCUGAUGCGCGAAAGCGUGGGGAGCGAUCCGG